AAUGGCUUCAGAUGACUUCGUGAAAUUAUAAUCAGACGGACCCUCUCAGAUCCAAGUCACCCAAAAUGACGAAAAAAAAGCGGGAGGCGCCGAAAAGCGCGCUGUAAGUGUUUGCAUCCCAAUAUAAGACUUUUAGACUGCAGAUUAUCUAUACAGGUAUCGGAAAAUUAAGCCUACAGUUUUACAUACCUUUAUCUUCUUGCUUCUUCUCUUCUUCCAGCCUUUUCUUUUGUCGUUUUUCAUGGCCAGAAAGAUAUUUUCGUUUCUUGUCUAAAUAAAGAACUAAAUAAAAAACAAUUGUGCUUAUCAUGAUGCCUGAUAAAGAGCCCGGUAGGCCCAUUUCUUUUUAUUUAUUUAUUUUAUGUUACUUUUGUUGUAUGAUUUUUUUCACCCACUAUAUAGCAGUGACUCAAGGGGGUCCUCUGCUGGCCACGGGGCCCUUUGCAAUUGCAAGGGUCGCUUAGUGGCUUGGCCGGCUCUGUGCCCCAUUUAUGUUGGUCUGCCAAACCGCCAUUAAACACUAGAAGAAGAAGAAGCAGCACAAGCUGUGUGUGUGUGGAGGCUGCAUCGUGAGGAUUCUGUUCUCAACCCAGACAGCUUUGGUGUUUGCUGGAGUUAUUUUGGUUGAUUCCUCUAUAGUGUUAUUGUGUUAACACCUUUGUGCUAACUGGAGCCUGUGACAAGGAAUCUGGUUUGUUUUGAGACUUAUCUUGUUUGUCUGUAUUUGUUAUCUGUUAAACUUGUAUUGUUAAUUUAAGUGGGAAGGUUAGUAGAGAGGUGGGUGCCAUUUUGUUUAUGUUUUUCCUGUUUAUGCUAGUAAGGGAGUUGGCUUAUUCUUAUUGUAUUUUUGUUUCUUGUCUUUGUUAGUCUGGUUAGUUUCUCCCUAAUAGUUAGAGGGAUUUUUGUUUGUUAUGUUGGCCUUGCCCCCUCUCGAAGUCUUGACAUCCUCCCAUACCUGUAAAAUAAAGAAUUUGUUUUUGAUAUGACACACACAUCACCUUUUCUUAUUCUGUUAUGUGGUCCUAUAGCCCUAGAUUAACUGGGAACGUAACAAUGUAGAAAUUAUGUGUUUGUCAAACACAUCCAAAGAGUUUUCUACUCGUGUAAAAAAAAAGCACUUGUGUGCAUAAAUUAUCUAAAGAAACAUUGCUGUCAUUACGUUAUUUAAUUUUUUUUUAAGACAAUAGACAGUGUGCCUUGCUUUAGUGACACACAAUGUGUAAUCUUUUAAACAUGUUUAAAAUGGUAGGUGUAAUUAUUUUACUGAGUUUAAGUCAAAUGUAUAUUUGUUCAUUGAAAGUACACAUACUAUCUACAGGUUAGAUUAUUAAAUGAAAAAAACAUUUCUUACGUAACUGUUUUGGAGAUUCCCAAUUUUGAGAUGGGGUCACCUAGUCACAAUAUUUCCAAUCGUGUCUCACUGGGUAACUGUGAUAAUGAAUCAGGUAAAUUAAAGAUUGAUUUGGAUGAUUUACUUGUUGAAGGCCUCCAGAAAGACUGGAGCAAGAAAGUUAAACGACAAAAGAAGAAAGACAAGCGUCGAGAGAAACAGAAGAGGAGAUCAACCGACGGACCAGCAGAAAAUCGUUUCUAAGAUAAGAAGAAUAAUUCGACUGGUGCGAAGGCAUGAAUAAGAAGAUAAUAAAAAUGAUGAGAGAAAUCAUUAACUGUAUUGAGUUGGUUAAUGUUGAUUUGGAGUUACAGUCUCUGGCAAAUGGAAUCGAGGCCUUGAGAUUGCAAACCUCUGUUGCAAGACCAGAAAACCCUUAAAAGGUAACAAUGAGAUGUAUGAUUUGUUAGACAUCAACUCUAAAGGGCAGUAAUAAGAAAUGUAUGAUGUUAACAUUUGCUCAACAGUUGAGACUGUCACGUACGCCAGUUGAGACUGUCACGUAUGCUUGCUUUUUGCUAAGAUAACAAUGAGUGUGCAAGGAAAUGCAUCUUGCAAUCUGGAUUGCAGGAUGGACUUUCUUUCUAAAAAUUGUAUUGUAAUGUGUUUAAUCUGAUUAACACAGGAAGGAGGAUGCUGUGCAGUUUAGCAAUAGUCACUUACUUAGCCUACGCCUUAAGAUUUUGUAACAGCUUAAAGAAAAGAUUAAUUUGCUUUAAUGGAAAGAAGAUAGAGCAGCAAUUACUUAAUGUAUGUGUGCAGAAGAGGGGUUGCCAAAAAAGGAAAUGUUAACUUCCUGUAUCCAUAGCAACCUGACUGUUAGUGUGUGCGUGCAAGCGGAUGUGUUAAUGUGUUUUACCAAAAGGAGGCAUCCGGAAGAAAUGAUGUAUUGUUGUUGGGACUAUAUAAUGUUAUGGUUUGGACACAUCCCCUGCCGCAUCUCGGGGUGAAGACUUACGCUUUUACUUUUGUUUUUUACUUGUUAAUAUUUUGCUUAUGAGUUAGUGUUUAAAAUAAAGCGAAGCCAUGUACAAUGGUGAUGCGUAAAAACCUUUAAACAAGUCUCUGAGUAAUUUAUUACGAGUAAAGUUAUUAUUCUAGUUUGUUCCUGAUUCUGUAUUGCCAAGCUCUGCAGAGGCAAAGACUCAACUGAGCUGAUCUGGUUCUGGUGGGAAGAAGUGCAGAAUUCUCCAUUGCCACAGAGAAGACAUCAAAGGAAGAACCCAAACACCUCCUGACUGGAAGGUACAGGCCAGAAAGGAACUCCAAAGAAACCCCCACAGCUCUGUUUACAGUUUUCUGGUUCGGUUCCGUUCCCUGGAGCCCAGUUCUGAUAGCACACGGUCUCUCCGCUCACCCAGUACCAGAUGUUCAUGAUGCAGUAGUUGUGUAAACCCAACCACAGCUCCGCAGUAGACGCCAGGUGUACCACGUUCAUCACACGACGCUGAAUCUCUUGUGAAUGAACCGAGACCAGAUCCACAUGAUUCUGUCUGCAGUAUCUCAGAGCUUCAGACCACGUCAGAUUCUCUCUGAUCACAAUCAGUUUAUCUGGAAACCAAACAGAGCACAAGCAGAAACUAGAGAGAGACUGAUCAAAAACAACAUCAGAACAAACACUGUGGAUGAAUUUGUCAUGUCAGACAUGUAGCGGGAACUUUAAGAGAUCUGGAGGAGAUGAUGGGUUGAGUGUGUUUUGUGAGGAUCUACUCACCUUCAUGACACACAAAAGGAUAUCGAUUGUUACAAUACUCAUCAUUCCAUCGUCCCUGAGCGCUCUUUUCAACAUGUGUACAGUUUUCAUCACCUCCAGCAUUAUUAGGUUCACCAGUGUUCCAGUAACUGAAAGAGUAGUUACUCUGAUCUGACCACUGCCAUGAGUCUCUGAACAGACCGAUCCAGACAUCUGAUCCAGAUGAGUUAUUAUCACUAAUGAUCUUCUUAAUCUUCUCAUUCUCAUCCUGGUUUCUCACACUGACCAGAUCAGUGUGAUUCUGUCUGCAGUAACUCUGAGCGUUUCUCCAAUUCAUCUUCUGAUUGACAAAGAUGAGUCCUGUGUUCUCUUUAAUAAAGACAAAUGGAAAAAGAUUCAUGAAUCAGUUUGUUCAUUAUUCUUUCGCUGCUUUCUGGUUUGGAUGUGAACAGGAGCAUCAGUGGAAACAUCAGAAACACGUCACUCAAAGACUUGAGCUGCUUCUUCAGCUGGUGAUUUACUGAAUAUGAACUAUAUUUUCAGGAUUAUAUUAAAGAUCUAACAUGAAGUAA